UACGGGGGGGGCAAGCGUUGUUCGGAAUUACUGGGCGUAAAGGGCGCGUAGGCGGCCUACUAAGUCGGACGUGAAAUCCCUCGGCUCAACCGAGGAACUGCGUCCGAUACUGGCAGGCUGGAAUCCGGGAGAGGGAUGUGGAAUUCCAGGUGUAGCGGUGAAAUGCGUAGAUAUCUGGAGGAACACCGGUGGCGAAGGCGGCAUCCUGGACCGGUAUUGACGCUGAGAAGCGAAAGCCAGGGGAGCAAACGGG
rnacentral:rRNA from 1 species